GCGUAAGAGGGCAAACCCAGUGCUUGCACUGGGGGUUGUAGGACUGCAAUGUGCAAUAAGUAAGGUUAGUAGAACACUCUGGAAAGUGUAGCCAUAGAGGGUGAUAGUCCCGUAUACGAAAACCAAACUUUAGCUAGCAGUAUCCUGAGUAGGGCGAAACACGUGGAAUUUUGUCUGAAGCUGGGUCGACCACGAUCCAACCCUAAAUACUAAUACCAGAUCGAUAGUGCACAAGUACCGUGAGGGAAAGGUGAAAAGAACUGAGGUGAUCAGAGUGAAAUAGAACCUGAAACCAUUUGCUUACAAUCAUUCAGAGCACUAUGUAGCAAUACAGUGUGAUGGACUGCCUUUUGCAUAAUGAGCCUGCGAGUUGUGGUGUCUGGCAAGGUUAAGCACACGCGAAGCCGUAGCGAAAGCGAGUCUGAAUAGGGCGCUUAAGUCAGAUGCUGCAGACCCGAAACGAAGUGAUCUAUCCAUGAGCAAGUUGAAGCUAGUGUAAGAACUAGUGGAGGACUGAACCCAUAGGCGUUGAAAAGCCCCGGGAUGACUUGUGGAUAGGGGUGAAAGGCCAAUCAAACUUCGUGAUAGCUGGUUCUCUCCGAAAUAUAUUUAGGUAUAGCGUUGUGUCGUAGUAUAAGGGGGUAGAGCACUGAAUGGGCUAGGGCAUACACCAAUGUACCAAACCCUAUCAAACUCCGAAUACCUUAUAUGUAAUCACAGCAGUCAGGCGGCGAGUGAUAAAAUCCGUCGUCA
rnacentral:rRNA from 1 species